UACGAAGGGGGCUAGCGUUGCUUGGAAUUACUGGGCGUAAAGGGAGCGUAGGCGGGUCGUCAAGUUGGGGGUGAAAGCCCAGGGCUCAACCUUGGAAUUGCCUUCAAAACUGACGAUCUAGAGUAUGGAAGAGGUAAGUGGAACUCCGAGUGUAGAGGUGAAAUUCGUAGAUAUUCGGAAGAACACCAGUGGCGAAGGCGACUUACUGGUCCAUGACUGACGCUGAGGCUCGAAAGCGUGGGGAGCAAACAGG
rnacentral:rRNA from 1 species